GGCCCAGACACAGUGAAACCUGUGAUCUUAGGUACAAAUGUUAUUUUACUUAGCCAUCACAAGGAGAGGCAUAGAGUGUUACCAUCUUAUGAUUGAGGCAGCACCAGGGGACAGAGAAACUCAAGAGCUUUGGAACGUAGCAGUAGAUGCCUGUGAAACCUGGAGCAAACAAGGCCAAGGAAAGAUUGAAGCGCCGGAGGCUGACGAAUGAAGAAAGAGACAGCAGCCCUAAAUCCAAGCAAUAAAUGAACCCUUGCUACUGAGGAAUGAAUGGAACGAGGACUUUCGGAGGGAAAGGGCGUGUCCUGCCUGCCACAAUCCCUCUUCUGAGAGUCAGAUGUCGGGUAGCAGCGCUCAGCAGCGCCACCUGCAGGAGAGACCGCACACUUCCACACCGUCGAUCAUCCUCGCUAUCCUCAUUGAGAACAAGCCUUUGACUGAGGGCGACUCUCUCGGAAGCCCAAGUACUGCUGCACCGCAAACACCCUGAAAUCCAAGUUUCUCCUUUUCUGGGAGCUUCCAUACCACAUACCUGUCCCCAGCCUAGGCACUCGCUCAAAGGUUCCCCAAUUAUCUCUCGUGAUGGAAUGGUCCCGCUGCCUCUUGUUUCCAAAUCCAUCCUUGUCAAACCUCGACUGCAUCUUCUCCCAGCUGUGUGAAAGCUGAGUGCCAAGGCCCUCCGCAAACCGUGGUUCCAGGCAGGAGCAACAACCAUCCCCCUAAAAUCCAGAAGGAGAACCUGCUGUUCACAGGGCAGUUUGAAUUCAAACCAGAACAGAGACCCCAGGAGCAACUUAUAUUCAGCGCCCCCCUUAAAUAAAAAAAAUAAAAUGGUUCUGGGGGGAUAUCACGUGA